rnacentral:snRNA from 1 species
GGAUGUGAGGGCAGUCUGGCUACGACAUCUGUCACCCCAUUGAUGGCCAGGGUUGAUUCGGCUGAUGUGGCUGGCUAGGCAGGUGUCCCCUUCCUCCCUCACCGCUCCAUGUGCGUCCCUCCUGAAGCUGCGCGCUCGGUGGAAGAGGAUGACCUUCCCUGAUAGAGGAGGACCGUUCUUUGGUCAAGGGUAUACGAGUAGCUUCGCUCCCCUGCUAGAACCUCCAAACAAGCUCUCAAGGAUCCUAAAUCCGAAGAAUGAUGAUGGUUUUCCUUGCUCAAGCUAAGAACUUUGAUUUCCUAAGUUUUCCUUGAU